rnacentral:rRNA from 1 species
GAGUUUGAUUAUGGCUCAGAUUGAACGCUGGCGGCAUGCCUUACACAUGCAAGUCGAACGGCAGCACGGGAGCUUGCUCCUGGUGGCGAGUGGCGAACGGGUGAGUAAUGCAUCGGAACGUAUCCUGGAGUGGGGGAUAACGUAGCGAAAGUUACGCUAAUACCGCAUAUUCUGUGAGCAGGAAAGCGGGGGACCUUCGGGCCUCGCGCUCUUGGAGCGGCCGAUGUCGGAUUAGCUAGUUGGUGAGGUAAAGGCUCACCAAGGCGACGAUCCGUAGCAGGUCUGAGAGGAUGAUCUGCCACACUGGAACUGAGACACGGUCCAGACUCCUACGGGAGGCAGCAGUGGGGAAUUUUGGACAAUGGGGGCAACCCUGAUCCAGCCAUGCCGCGUGAGUGAAGAAGGCCUCGG